AAAAUAAAAAAAACUUAAUUCAUGUGUAUUUGUCAAUAAAAAUUUGUACCUUGGCUUGGGUUGUAGAGUCACAUGUUUUUUUGAGUUAUUGAUUAGUUGUUGAACUUGAUUCUACACUAAGUGUGUUUCUAUCAGAUUUAAUUUAUUAAUUAAUUUAAUUAUUAUUUUUCUUUCUUUCUAUUUAUCUAUCUUGGUUGCUACCUAUUUAAGAGUUUUUUUUGUAGCUUAGCA
rnacentral:lncRNA from 1 species